rnacentral:rRNA from 1 species
AAUCAACGCUGGCGGCGUGCCUAACACAUGCAAGGCGAGCGAGAAAAGGGGGGCAACUCCCUGAGUACAGCGGCGCACGGGUGAGUAACACGUGGGUAAUCUGCCCUGGAGUGGGGAAUAACACCGGGAAACCGGUGCUAUACCGCAUACGAUCACGGAGUCUGCGGAUUUUGUGAUGAAAGGAGCAAUUCGCUCUAGGAGGAGCCCGCGGCUGAUUAGCUAGUUGGUGAGGUAAUGGCUCACCAAGGCUACGAUCAGUAUCCGGUCUGAGAGGACGGUCGGACGCACUGGAACUGAGACACGGUCCAGACUCCUACGGGAGGCAGCAGUGGGGAAUUUUUGGCAAUGGGGGCAACCCUGACCAAGCAACGCCGCGUGGGUGAUGAAGUCUCUUGGGACGUAAAACCCUUUCGACGGGGACGAAACCGCAAGGUUGACGGUACCCGUAGAAGAAGCCCCGGCUAACUCCGUGCCAGCAGCCGCGGUAAUAC